rnacentral:lncRNA from 1 species
AAAAAUAUGAAUAUAUAAAAUAAAGAGAGAAGUAAUAGUUCAUAAAUGUAUUAGUUAGAGGCAAAUCAUCUCCACUCUAUUGUAUCGUGUGAAUAAAUAAAGAAUAAAAUAGACUAUUUUUAACUAGAUAUCUUCAUCAAGAAAGAAAUAAAGAGGAAACAAAAUUAAUAUUCACAAAAUCAAUUUUCUCCCUCUGUUCUCAUUCUCUCUCAUCUUCUCUUACCCCUUGUCAUUUUUCAAAGAAUAAAAAGAGUAACAUAUUAUCUCUGUUGUGAACUGAAUUUUUUUUUAGAAAAAAUAUAGAAACAAAAAAAACUCUUCUCCUUCACUCAAACAAACAAAACUUUACAACCACAACAUCGAUUUAAAAUCCAGAAAAUUAACCCAUUGAUUCAUGAAAGAAAGGUACCAAAUGGUGAUUGAGACAACAAAUGCUGGUGGAUGGCGGCGGACCUGAAGGCGGCAACGGCGUAUAUGGAGGCUAUGGCGUGGGUUUUCCGAUGUUUGGUGGUUGUCGGAGGUGAGUGUUGUUGUUGUGUUGAGUUAUGUUAUGGUUGAUGAAGUUGGUAUUGAUAGUGAUAGUGAGAGUUCCUAUUGUAAAAAAAUAAAAAGGUUUCUGGAAUUCUUGUUGAUGGUUUGAGCAUAAAUGGUGAUGUGAGCUUUUCUUU